rnacentral:rRNA from 1 species
GGAUUUAUUGGGCGUAAAGCGAGCGCAGGCGGUUCUUUAAGUCUGAUGUGAAAGCCCCUGGCUCAACCAGGGAGGGUCAUUGGAAACUGGAGAACUUGAGUGCAGAAGAGGAAAGUGGAAUUCCAUGUGUAGCGGUGAAAUGUGUAGAUAUAUGGAGGAACACCAGUGGCGAAGGCGACUUUCUGGUCUGUAACUGACGCUGAGGCUCGAAAGCAUGGGGAGCAAACAGGAUUAGAUACCCUGGUAGUCCAUGCCGUAAACGAUGAGUGCUAAGUGUUGGAGGGUUUCCGCCCUUCAGUGCUGCAGCUAACGCAUUAAGCACUCCGCCUGGGGAGUACGACCGCAAGGUUGAAACUCAAAGGAAUUGACGGGGGCCCGCACAAGCGGUGGAGCAUGUGGUUUAAUUCGAAGCAACGCGAAGAACCUUACCAGGUCUUGACAUCCUUUGACCACUCUAGAGAUAGAGCUUUCCCUUCGGGGACAAAGUGACAGGUGGUGCAUGGUUGUCGUCAGCUCGUGUCGUGAGAUGUUGGGUUAAGUCCCGCAACGAGCGCAACCCUUAUUAUUAGUUGCCAGCAUUCAGUUGGGCACUCUAGUGAGACUGCCGGUGAUAAACCGGAGGAAGGUGGGGAUGACGUCAAAUCAUCAUGCCCCUUAUGACCUGGGCUACACACGUGCUACAAUGGAUGGUACAACGAGUCGCAAAACCGCGAGGUUAAGCUAAUCUCUUAAAGCCAUUCUCAGUUCGGAUUGUAGGCUGCAAUUCGCCUACAUGAAGCCGGAAUCGCUAGUAAUCGCGGAUCAGAACGCCGCGGUGAAUACGUUCCCGGGCCUUGUACACACCGCCCGUCACACCACGAGAGUUUGUAACACCCAAAGUCGGUGAGGUAACCUUCGGGAGCCAGCCGCCUAAGGUGGGACAGAU